rnacentral:lncRNA from 10 species
GGACAGUGGAGACGCGCCUUCUCGGCUCUGGUCCGCGCCCUGGGGCCCUGGCCUCCCUGGAGGGGCUGGGGAACUGGAAGCUGGGCCGAGAGAGUUCCCGCUGCAGCUAUCGCGCAGUCCCUCCUGCGCCCGGGCGCCCCCAGCGGGUUCCGGGAGGCGCCCGGUGAGCCCACGUCUGUUGCGGCGGAGCGAGCGCGCUCCGGGAGGGCCGAGAGCCGGCGGGGCUGGCAGGAGCUCUCGGGCGCCCGCCUCCCUCCUUCGCGGACGGUCUCCCGACACGCCGGCUGAGAGCCCUUUUCGACUGUGAGCUGCGGCAGCUGAGCAGAGGCGGCGGCGCGGGACCUGCAGUCGCCAGGGAUUCCCUCCAGGUGACGAUGCUCUGGUUCUCCGGCGUCGGGGCUCUGGCUGAGCGUUACUGCCGCCGCUCGCCUGGGAUUACGUGCUGCGUCUUGCUGCUACUCAAUUGCUCGGGGGUCCCCAUGUCUCUGGCUUCCUCCUUCUUGACAGGUUCUGUUGCAAAAUGUGAAAAUGAAGGUGAAGUCCUCCAGAUUCCAUUUAUCACAGACAACCCUUGCAUAAUGUGUGUCUGCUUGCAUGAGCCAACUAGAUGGAGCAAUCUGACACAAAACCCAGGGUUUUAUGACUGACCUAGUGCGCCAGCUGCAUCUGGAGGAACCAGACGCAAACAACGCAGAGUUGAGGGCCAGGUGAAGCGGGAUCCAGCUCCCCACUUCACCCCAACCCCUUCGACUCCUCAAAACCUCUGCAAGAAGCUAUUUCCUUCGGCUGGCAACUUACAGCCAGCAGGUCCCUUCCUCGUGCAGAAUAAAGCCAUUCUGGGAAA